rnacentral:rRNA from 1 species
CCCUUAGAUGUUCUGGGCUGCACGCGUGUUACAAUCGGGAGUACAACAAGAUUGCAAAUCCUAGUGGAUGAGUGGUUCUUCGAAAUUUUCUGAAGACUGGGAUAGUUGAUUGAAAUUAUUCAACUCGAACGAGGAAUUCCUUGUAAUUGUAAUUCAUUAUAUUGUAAUGAAUACGUCCCUGCCCUUUGUACACACCGCCCGUCGCUCCUACCGAUUGAACGAUCCGGUGAAUUAUUUGGAGUAGCUCUGGAAGUUGCAGAACUUCCUAUGUCACGAAAUUUUGUAAACCUUAUCGUUUAGAGGAAGGAAAAGCCGUAACA